AAACUGUUAAAUCCUAAGCUGACGGUGUCAAAUUUCAAGACUGAACGAAGCUCAGCAGUUCUCUUUGAAGUCUGGCCUGAAGUUUUGCUGGCAGGAUGGCAAC